UCGGGAAUUUUGGGCAAUGGGGGAAACCCUGACCCAGCAACGCCGCGUGAAGGAUGAAGUAUUUCGGUAUGUAAACUUCGAAAGAAUAGGAAGAAUAAAUGACGGUACUAUUUAUAAGGUCCGGCUAACUACGUGCCAGCAGCCGCGGUAAUACGUAGGGACCAAGCGUUGUUCGGAUUUACUGGGCGUAAAGGGCGCGUAGGCGGCAUGACAAGUCACUUGUGAAAUCUCUGGGCUUAACCCAGAACGGCCAAGUGAUACUGUCGCGCUAGAGUGCAGAAGGGGCAAUCGGAAUUCUUGGUGUAGCGGUGAAAUGCGUAGAUAUCAAGAGGAACACCUGAGGUGAAGACGGGUUGCUGGGCUGACAUUGACGCUGAGGCACGAAAGCGUGGGGAGCGAACAGGAUUAGAUACCCUCGUAGUCCCUGAGCGGGCUGGCAAGGCGCAU
rnacentral:rRNA from 1 species